GUAGGGUGCGAGCGUUAAUCGGAAUUACUGGGCGUAAAGCGUGCGCAGGCGGUUCUGCAAGUCAGAUGUGAAAUCCCCGGGCUUAACCUGGGAACUGCGUUUGAAACUACGGAGCUAGAGUGCGGCAGAGGGGGGUGGAAUUCCACGUGUAGCAGUGAAAUGCGUAGAUAUGUGGAGGAACACCGAUGGCGAAGGCAGCCCCCUGGGCCGACACUGACGCUCAGGCACGAAAGCGUGGGGAGCAAACAGGAUUAGAUACCCUGGUAGUCCACGCCCUAAACUAUGUCAACUAGUUGUCGGGGAAGCAAUUCCUUGGUAACGAAGCUAACGCGUGAAGUUGACCGCCUGGGGAGUACGGUCGCAAGAUUAA
rnacentral:rRNA from 1 species